rnacentral:rRNA from 1 species
AACGUAGGAGACAAACGUUAUCCGGAGUUACUGGGCGUAAAGGGCGUGUAGGUGGUAAUGUAAGUCUGGCGUGAAAUUUUUCGGCUUAACCGGGAAAGGUCGUCGGAUACGGCAUGACUAGAGGACGGUAGAGGCGUGUGGAAUUCCGGGUGUAGUGGUGAAAUGCGUAGAGAUCCGGAGGAACACCAGUGGCGAAGGCGACACGCUGGGCCGUACCUGACACUGAACCGCGACAGCAUGGGGAGCAAACAGG